rnacentral:piRNA from 1 species
UCCAAUGUGCUGGUUACAUCCCACGAUGGUU